GCGGGCGUGGCGGAAUGGUAGACGCUACGGACUUAAAACUUUGAGUGCCCUUUUGGAAACGAGAGGUGCAGAACUGCUCAAAUUCGGGGAAAGCUUUUAAAUGCCAAUCCCGAGCCAAGCCUGAUUUUUCAGGAAGGUGUAGAGACUAGACGGGCAGCACCUACCCCCUGUUUAACAGGGUAUGGUGAAGGGAUAGUCCAGACCCCAAACACUGCUUUGGCAGUGGCGACGAAAGUCGUGGUAGGUAAGAAAAUCCGUUGGGCAUUUGCCCGUGAGGGUUCGAGUCCCUCCGCCCGCACCA
rnacentral:tRNA from 1 species